rnacentral:rRNA from 1 species
UACGUAGGGUCCGAGCGUUGUCCGGAAUUACUGGGCGUAAAGAGCUCGUAGGUGGUUUGUCGCGUUGUUCGUGAAAACUCACAGCUCAACUGUGGGCGUGCGGGCGAUACGGGCAGACUUGAGUACUGCAGGGGAGACUGGAAUUCCUGGUGUAGCGGUGAAAUGCGCAGAUAUCAGGAGGAACACCGGUGGCGAAGGCGGGUCUCUGGGCCGAUACUGACGCUGAGGAGCGAAAGCAUGGGGAGCGAACAGG